UACGAGGGGGCAAGCGUUGUUCGGAAUUAUUGGGCGUAAAGGGUGCGUAGGCGGUUUGGUAAGUCUUAUGUGAAAUCUACAGGCUCAACUUGUAGUCUGCAUGAGAAACUGCCGGGCUUGAGUAUGGGAGAGGUGAGUGGAAUUCCUGGUGUAGCGGUGAAAUGCGUAGAUAUCAGGAGGAACACCUGUGGCGAAAAGCGGCUCACUGGACCAUAACUGACGCUGAUGCACGAAAGCUAGGGGAGCAAACAGG
rnacentral:rRNA from 1 species